rnacentral:rRNA from 1 species
AGUGAACGCUGGCGGUAGGCCUAACACAUGCAAGUCGAACGGCAGCACAGUAAGAGCUUGCUCUUACGGGUGGCGAGUGGCGGACGGGUGAGGAAUACAUCGGAAUCUACUUUUUCGUGGGGGAUAACGUAGGGAAACUUACGCUAAUACCGCAUACGACCUACGGGUGAAAGCAGGGGAUCUUCUGACCUUGCGCGAUUGAAUGAGCCGAUGUCGGUUUAGCUAGUUGGCGGGGUAAAGGCCCACCAGGGCGGCGAUCCGUAGCUGGUCUGAGAGGAUGGUCAGCCACACUGGAACUGAGACACGGUCCAGACUCCUACGGGAGGGAGCAGUGGGGAAUAUUGGACAAUGGGCGCAAGCCUGAUCCAACCAUACCGCGUGGGUGAAGAAGGCCUUCGGGUUGUAAAGCCCUUUUGUUGGGAAAGAAAAGCAGCAGGUUAAUACCCCGCUGUUCUGACGGUACCCAAAGAAUAAGCACCGGCUAACUUCGUG